rnacentral:misc_RNA from 1 species
CUGGAGUUUCCACAUGUCCGUACAGGCCACUUCAACCUCGGACGCUUCGUCGGACGCCGGGGACGGAGAUCCUCCUGCUGCGAGAAGCUCAGGCAUCGGCCGCAGCGUGCCGCCGCGUAGAACAGUUUCUACAGCGGCUUCGCAAACGUGCCAAUUACCAGUCCACAGGAGCCCUACAGCGCCGUUUACAGGAUUCACGGUUCUACCGCAGGCUUCAAAUAAUAAAGAUUGAAACAAAGCAGGACGCUGGCUUUCGGGAACGGCUGAGAUGAAGGACAUGAGACCGGCGCGGCCAAAGAACUUAGCGACGAAGACGGUGGCGUGGCCUUGGGCUUCAGGGCUCUCGAUCCACUGUAAACACGGCCGUAAAAUACAGGUUUCGCUGCACACCCUUUGCGUAAGACUGCAACCGUUGCA